UGAAGCGGCAAAAGCUCAAAUUUGAAAUCUGGUACCUUCGGUGCCCGAGUUGUAAUUUGGAGAGGGCAACUUUGGGGCCGUUCCUUGUCUAUGUUCCUUGGAACAGGACGUCAUAGAGGGUGAGAAUCCCGUGUGGCGAGGAGUGCGGUUCUUUGUAAAGUGCCUUCGAAGAGUCGAGUUGUUUGGGAAUGCAGCUCUAAGUGGGUGGUAAAUUCCAUCUAAAGCUAAAUAUUGGCGAGAGACCGAUAGCGAACAAGUACAGUGAUGGAAAGAUGAAAAGAACUUUGAAAAGAGAGUGAAAAAGUACGUGAAAUUGUUGAAAGGGAAGGGCAUUUGAUCAGACAUGGUGUUUUGUGCCCUCUGCUCCUUGUGGGUAGGGGAAUCUCGCAUUUCACUGGGCCAGCAUCAGUUUUGGUGGCAGGAUAAAUCCAUAGGAAUGUAGCUUGCCUCGGUAAGUAUUAUAGCCUGUGGGAAUACUGCCAGCUGGGACUGAGGACUGCGACGUAAGUCAAGGAUGCUGGCAUAAUGGUUAUAUGCCGCCCGUCUUGAAACCACGGAC
rnacentral:rRNA from 1 species